rnacentral:lncRNA from 1 species
CAACAACCUCCCUUUAACUCAGUUUCACAAACAAUUACAAAGAGCAGCUGCAUUCGUUUCCACAGUUAGAGUUUAAAAAUCUGUAAUGAUCCCCAACAGAAUAGAGGUGCAGGGGGUGAGAGUGAGGAAGGAGAGGAUUCUUCCGGUUCAGAUGUCCGUCCCCAGCCACCUGCUGAUUGUGCUAAUCCCGGGAGCCUUGGGCACAGACAUGGAGCCACAAUAAGCUAUUGCCAGUCCUGGUGUUUGGCUUCCCCCUCACCCCCCUUCUGGCUUAGAGUUUCUCAUCUGUCAAGAUUCAUUAACAUGGUGAUGAAGAUUUAUGAAGGGCAAGGUCAGCAAAACUGCAGACUACAAGAUCACUAGGCUGACAAGUCCUAAGAUCUGCAGGCAGCAGACUGGAGACUCGGGAGAACUGAUGGUGUAGUUCCAGAUCAAAGGCCAGCAGGCUCGAGACUGAGGAAGAGCCAUUAUUUCAACUGGAAUCCCAAGGCAGGAAAAAACUAAUGACCCAGCUUGAAGGCAGUCAGAUCAUAAAUGGAAGCCUGAGGAGCCAAAACCCAAGGAUGUGCUGGGAACUCCACUGAGAGGUGAUCUCUGACCACUGGAUCACUUUCUUCUAGAGGACUCUGACUGAUUAAAAAAAAAAAAAAAAAAACUCAAUAAAGACUUGUUGAAAGGCUGCUGAAUGAAUGAAAAGUCUUGGCAUCCUUUGGAAAUUUGACUGAUUGACUUUGGCACUGGAACAGCCAUGGAAGAGACACUAAAGGAGGAAAGGCUAGAAGUCAGCACCAAGAAGAUAACUCUGAGUCUCACUCUGUACCCAGGCUGGAGUGCACUGGAGCAAUCAUAGCUCACUGCAGCCUCGACUUCCCAGGUUCAAGCAAUCUUCCUGCCUCAGCCUCCCAAGAAGCUGGGAGUACAGAUACAUGCCACCGCGCCCAGCUAAUUUUUUUUUUAUUUUUAUUUUUUGUAGAGAUGGGGGUCUCACUCUAUUACCCAGGCUGGUCUCGAACUCCUGGGCUCAAACAAUCUAUCCAUCUUGACCUCCCAAAACUCUGGGAUUAUAAGAAUGAGCCACCAUGCCCAGGGGUUGAAUACUUUUCUGCUGGUAAAAUAUGGUGCUUGAAACAGAGCAGAAUGCCGGUAUGAUUGUGCUUGUAUGUGAGGUGGCAGAGUAAGGAAAGCAUUUAAAUCAUUGUUGAAUUCUAACUUUCUACUGAUUAACUUGCCUAGCUUUUCUGAGCUUACUCAUCUAGAAAAUUGACAGAAACUCCAUGGAGAAGUUAUAAAUACAUAUAAAGAUAUGACUUAUGUAAAGUGCUUACCACGGUGCACGACAUAGUAUUUGCUCAAUAAAUGUUCAUUUCUCUCCUGUUUUUCUCUCCUGUUUCAUUUUCUUUGUCUCUCUUCUUUCUUAUUGAAGUUCCACA